CAGAUGGCGCUGUUGCAGAAAGGCCGGUGCUGUUGGGUUUCGGGGCUCAGAGUGGUCAGACAGUGAAAAGGAAUAUUGAACAAAUGGCUACAGUCCACAUACAGAGACGUCAUAUCGGCUGUACUGGCUGUAUUGGCCAUCAGGGGGCGCCCCUCACAGUUUCAAACAACGGGGCGUCAGACAGCAGGAAUGACACGUACAGGAGAGGGGGGGUGUUUCUGGAAGUGACGGACCGUGGAUUUCCACCAAUCACCGCCCGAGCCAACCUGCAGGGAGGGGGGGAAGAAUGUGGGGUGCACUGCAGAGGACACGUAGAGUGACUGCACCCCAAAUUACCCUCGGUGUGCUGCAUGGAUGAUACAGCACAAAGCACCACUCUCACUGGGG